AGUGAACGCUGGCGGUAGGCCUAACACAUGCAAGUCGAACGGCAGCACAGUAAGAGCUUGCGCUUACGGGUGGCGAGUGGCGGACGGGUGAGGAAUACAUCGGAAUCUACUUUGUCGUGGGGGAUAACGUAGGGAAACUUACGCUAAUACCGCAUACGACCUACGGGUGAAAGCAGGGGAUCUUCGGACCUUGCGCGAUUGAAUGAGCCGAUGUCGGAUUAGCUAGUUGGCGGGGUAAAGGCCCACCAAGGCGACGAUCCGUAGCUGGUCUGAGAGGAUGAUCAGCCACACUGGAACUGAGACACGGUCCAGACUCCUACGGGAGGCAGCAGUGGGGAAUAUUGGACAAUGGGCGCAAGCCUGAUCCAGCCAUACCGCGUGGGUGAAGAAGGUCUUCGGGUUGUAAAGCCCUUUUGUUGGGAAAGAAAAGCAGCAGGUUAAUACCCCGCUGUUCUGACGGUACCCAAAGAAUAAGCACCGGCUAACUUCGUG
rnacentral:rRNA from 1 species